AAAGGAGCCUUUGCUCUCCACCCUGAGAAGCGGAGCCGGGGCGGUUUGUUCAUCUCCAGUGCUGACCCAGCUGCUGCUCAGCAACAGGAGAUCAAGGAUGACUCCCUGGAGCUACGGAGGAAAAUAGUGAACAUGGAAAAUCCUGUGAUGAAAUACACGGAACUGGAACAUAUUGGCAGAGGGACUUUUGGAGAUGUUUGCAUAGCACUUGACAAUGCCACAGGAG